UACGUUUAGUUGUAAUUAUGUGUUUUGUGUUAAUGCAUCAUUUAUACUGGGGGUCUUUUAUUUUGACACGGUGGGGGUUUUGAGUUGUUUGCUGUGGUGUGAUUGCAGCUCUCUGUGUGGUGUGUGGAUUGUUCCUGCUUGCAAACUGGAUUAAAACGACGUUGAUAGUCCAGUCAGUUGCUCUAGUGUGAUUUUUUUUUGUUAGAUACAUCCUUUGGUACAAAGCAAGAGUUUAUUAUAAACUCCCACGCUUUACAAUAGAGUUAGAACUGGAGAGCAGCUGCACACUAGCCUGAGGUCACCACCUCUAGUGCCAAGCAUCCACAGUAAAGGAAAACCCCUGCAUUAAACUGAGUUCUCUGGAGUGAUAAAACACUAUAUUAUAGGCAGGGGUUGGAGGAGCGUUUGUGAUCCUGAACUUAUCAUUAGAUCAUUAGUAUCUGACCUCACUAAUGCUUUUGUCGCAGUCACGUCCUCUAAGCAAGUUUCCAGCAUGUAUUACAGAGCCUACGAAAGAAAAGAGAGAUAAACUCCCUGAUUUUACCCUUCGUUUUGGAAGAAACUGGACGGGAUGAGAAGGGUCCUGUGUGUACUGUGAAUAUGUCAUAGAAGGCAUUGUAGUGCAGUGAGUGACCAGUGACAACUGUCAAGAAUUGUCUGUGUGAAAAGACAAGCAUCUCUAGCAGCAGAAAUUACAUCCACAUUUAAUGCAGGAGGCCUUCAGAUCGGGGAACUGCUAUACAAGCUGGUGAGAGCGCGAGCGAGCGAGCGCGCUUUAACAUCCCCGCGCGCGCUCGUGUGUCUCCAGUGCGCCACCGGACUGAAGUCGCUGGUGGAGAGGAGCAGCAGAUACGCGCUAUUUUCCUGCACUUUCUCACUAAAAUAACACAUAAUAACAUUUAAGCCCAAAACAAUAUUUUUAAAUAUUUAAAUAAACAUACAAAUAAAUAAAGUAAAAAAUGACGUCAUUUUAAUUGCAUUCUAAGUCUAAUGUAUAAAACACAAUUCUAUGAAUACAACAGUAUUUUACACAUGAUUUAUUUAAAAAUGCAACAGCAGAUUUAGACGAUGACAACAGUAUACUCAAAAUAUAUCUGCAACUCUUAUAGACUAUUAUUACUUUUAUUUUUUUUUAUAUAAUUGUUCCUAUAACAAGAAUAUGGGUAUUAUAGAAUUAUACAACAUUGCAGCUUUAGAGUCUUAGCCUAAGAGUGGUUUAUAGAUAAUUAAUAAGAAAUUGUAUCAGGUAUGAGGCAUCGAGUAGGCUAAAAUAUGCUCUGAAGCUAAGUUUGAUGGUGUUCAAAUUUUUUUUUCAGUUUGCAAUACACCUGCUGCACAACUUUUUAUAAAAGUCGUUCUCCGUUUUAUUAUUAUUUUAUUAUUAGUUGUUCUUAUUGUUAUUCAUAUUUUGUUAGUAACUACCUAUUUUUUAGUAACGUUUACUAAUAAAAAAACAUACAUUUUAAUAAAACUGCAUGCAUUUUUAGCCAUUCCAAAAUAGCUAGCGACCAAAGAACGCCCAUAUGUUCUGAACUGUGAGCAGAGUUCAAAUAAUUGUACGUAAAUUUAGAUUAGACUAUAAAAGGACGCGAUACAGAAUAAAGUGCAUCUCGGUUUUUUCCCUUCAGACUGAUCUCUCUUUCACACACUCACUCUUUCAGUCAUUCUUCACCUGCAGGUGUAUUUAAGAUGGAAGAGUCGGUUUCUUCCUCGAGACUUCCCUCGUUUCAGACUAAAAAGUCGAAAGAGCUUCCCUCUGAUCUGCUGACAUAACUUUUUAUUUUUAUUUUUAUUGUGCUGCGCAGUUUUGGUUUUUAACUUGGGGUUUAUCUAAUUUGUUCUACUGCUUACACAACAAUACACUAGUAUAUACGUACUAUAAAAUACAAUCUAUAUCAACAUAAGCAGGAUCUUCUGUUUUAGACAGAUCUGUAAUAAUACAAGCAAAAGAAUCCAAUCUUAACAGCAGUGUAUUCCCCUUUAGUGCUGCAGUAAUAAGAGUGCGAGUAAAUCACCUUAAAAGCUUUAUUUAAACACUCCUGUCCACCUCUUAUCAACACUCACUACACACAGCCUUUCUCUUCUACAGCUUAAAAUAAAUAAAGCAUUAAUAAUCACGCCCCUUAACACCUAUAACUAGUGCAUUUAAGCAUUAUGGCCUAGUCCUUAUCUUAACAAUCCCUUUAUUAGCACUUAUUAAAUUACCUUAAUUAUUGUAAUUAUCUUAAAUAUUAUUUUUGCACUAAUUUACCUAAAACAGGCUUUCAAUAGGUGCUGGCUAUUUUAAGCGAGUUAACAACUGUCAACCCAGGCAUUAAACGUGAAUAUGGCUUAUGUUUUGUCAGGGUGCAGUAGCCUAAAACUAUCAAUGUGAUUGCCCAUGUCUUCAAUAUGUGUGUGAGUGUGUGCUGGAGUGUGUGUGAGUGUGUGUUUGCUAUAUUUGGUCUGCUGCACGCGCAUUUUGAUGCCGGGCUGCUCCUCAUUAGUCCUGUGUUUUGUCUGCGUUGUCACCUCGCAGCUUCAAGGCGAAUGGGGGUCUGACUGUCUUGGGGGGGAUCAGCUCUCAGACUUCCUCUCUUUUCUUUCUUUCUUUCCCUCCCUCUGAACUUCAGACUCUCGGAUUCUGAUUUAACAUCGCUGGGAUGGGGGACAGAUUCGCCCAAGAACGGAGAUUUAUCCUGGAGACUGUUUUAUAGUCUCUAAGAUUUAACCCCAUUAUUAUCUCUCUCAUAUUUACCUUGAUAAUGAAUUGCUGAUCAAUAUAAGCAUAUAGCUAUAACUUUACAACAAGCCAGCAGUUCAAAAGACAAUAUGCAGCUAUAUAAACGUUAUAUUGUAAACUGACAGCUUGAUGAAAGCAGCAUUUUUAUGUAAAUAUGUAAAAUUAGCUUAAAUUAGAAAAAAAAACAUUUAAAGAGAAAUAUCUGUAAUAAAUGUCCUGUUAGAACAUGCAGUAAAGCGUAUUAGACUAAAUCAAUCUAAGCGUUAAUACUGUGCUUAGAUAAACGGCCAAACUGUGCUUAGAUAGGCUACCUAACACAUAACACAUAAACUUCUCCACAAAAACUCACUCAGACUAACAAGUCUGAUUUAAAGCACAUUCGCAGCAUUUGUUUGUGAAUUAAAACUAAAACACUAUUUAUCCAUCCAGGAUUAUUUAAUUUAAGAUUAGUAUUAAGCUGUGGUGAUGUAUUUUCUGAUUUAAUACUACAAACUGCUGUAACAAGCGCUCAAAAUAUAAAUAAACCCCCAAACACUCACUUUUACACAGUUUUUUAUCUUAUGUUCACUUCAUUUAGCUAUAACUAGGUAACACAUUUCAUCUUAUACUCGGACAGCCGUUUAUAUAAUAGACAGCAGUAAGAUCUACUUUCUCUCUGUCUGUCUGUCUGUCUCUCUCAGAGCAGAGCACCGGGUCAUUCACACACACUUUCUCUGCAGUCACCCGUGAGGAGAUGAAUGUGUUUCCAGCGGAUCUUUCCGGGCUAAUUUCAGCGAUUUAAAACUCUCCACUAAGCUAAACAGAAGAUUCAGCCGCCGUUAAGUCUCAGGAAACCUGUCUCUUGACAGGAGAGUUGACCUUUUUGUGCCAUGCUGACCUUCUAGACGUUCACUGUCACAUCAGCUAAAUAAUUCACAAUCCUAAUUUUUACAUGUAGGCCUAUAAAUCACACUUUAAGCGUAGCAUAAAAAAUAUUAUUUAGAAUUAAAACACAUGGGCACUUUUACCACACGGUCUCUAAAAAAUAUAUAUAUAGAAAAUAGAUUGCCAAAAAAAACACGAUUAACUUCUAUAUUAUGAUCUUAUGAAUCACUAAGAGUUUUAAUCAUUCUUUUCACAUGGUGUCUAAAAAGGUUUUUUUUUUUGGUACAGAUUUCUUGGUUAACAAAAAAAAAGUUUGUUAGCAAUCUAGUUCAACAAGUUAGUUUUGUAAAAAUCACAUGAGCUAGCCAACUUAACUAA